rnacentral:rRNA from 1 species
AUUGAACGCUGGCGGCAGGCCUAACACAUGCAAGUCGAGCGAGCGGCGGACGGGUGAGUAAUGUCUGGGAAACUGCCUGCUGGAGGGGGAUAACUACUGGAAACGGUAGCUAAUACCGCAUACCAUCAGAUGUGCCCAGUUGGUAUUAGCUAGUAGGUGGGGUAACGGCUCACCUAGGCGACGAUCCCUAGCUGGUCUGAGAGGAUGACGAGCCACACGGGAACUGAGACACGGUGCAGACUCCUACGGGAGGCAGCGGCGGGGAAUAUUGGACAAUGGGCGGAAGCCUGAUGCAGCCAAGGCGCGUGUGUGAAGAAGGCCUUCGGGUUGUAAAGCACUUUCAGCGGGGAGGCGUUACCCGCAGAAGAAGCACCGGCUAACUCCGUGCCAGCAGCCGCGGUAAUUC